UACAGAGCCUGCAAGCGUUAUUCGGAUUCACUGGGCGUAAAGGGUGCGCAGGCGGCCGAGUGUGUCAGGUGUGAAAGCCCGGGGCUUAACCCCGGAAUUGCGCCUGAAACUACUUGGCUAGAGCAUUGGAGAGGGUAGCGGAAUUCACGGUGUAGCAGUGAAAUGCGUAGAUAUCGUGAGGAACACCAGAGGCGAAGGCGGCGACCUGGACAAUUGCUGACGCGCAGGAACGAAAGCGUGGGGAGCAAAAGGG
rnacentral:rRNA from 1 species